CCACACCCGUUCCCAUCCCGAACACGGUCGUUAAGCCCUACAGCGCCGAUGGUACUCCGGUCGAGAGACCGCGGGAGAGUAGGCCGUCGCCGGCA
rnacentral:rRNA from 1 species